rnacentral:tRNA from 2 species
UGGGCAUUGGCCAAGAGGUAAGGCAAAGGUCUCUGAAUCCUUGAGCACUGGUUCGAAUCCAGUAUGCCCAA